rnacentral:rRNA from 1 species
UACGUAGGGGCCGAGCGUUGUCCGGAGUUACUGGGCGUAAAGCGUGCGCAGGCGGGCUUUUAAGCCAGACGUGAAAUCCCCGGGCUUAACCUGGGAAUGGCGUUUGGGACUGGGAGUCUGGAGUACGGCAGAGGAGACUGGAAUUCCUGGUGUAGCAGUGAAAUGCGUAGAUAUCAGGAGGAACACCGAUGGCGAAGGCAGGUCUCUGGGCUGAUACUGACGCUCAUGCACGAAAGCGUGGGGAGCAAACAGG